AUUGCGCGGCGAUAAACCUUACACACAAUGUUUAUUCUUUUAGAAUAUUGCUUUGGGCAUGAUUUCGAUCUGCCCAGAGGUUUUAAACACAAAGAUUUAUAUCUUUUUCUUUAAAAAAUAGUCAAGAAGUUUUUAAUACUAAAUCUUCAAAACUUUCAACAACGGAUCUCUUGGUUCUCGCAACGAUGAAGAACGCAGCGAAAUGCGAUACGUAAUGUGAAUUGCAGGUUUUCGUGAAUCAUCGAAUCUUUGAACGCACAUUGCACCCUCUGGUAUUCCAGAGGGUAUGCCUGUUUGAGCGUCAUUUCUCUCUCAAAACUUUAGUUUUGGUAUUGAGUGAUACUCUCUUCUGGGUUAACUUGAAAUAUCGGUUUUGGCAAGAGUGUGCCAUUGCGACUCUUGGAUGACAAUAAUGUAUUAGGUUCUACCAACUCGUUAUAUCUUCCUCGCAGAAGCUUUGUGCCAUCAGGCUCGGCCUAAUAACUAUAUCUAUAAGUUGACCUCAAAUCAGGUAGGACUACCCGCUGAACUUAAGCAUAUCAAUAAGCGGAGG
rnacentral:misc_RNA from 1 species